rnacentral:ncRNA from 1 species
AUGUAAUUUUAUUAAAUUUGAUUCUAGUUUAUUCUAAAUUGCUAUUUUGAUGAUUUUGAUAUGUGAAUAUUUGUGUGUUUUGUUUAUCUCUUAAAUAGAGAUAUCUUUAAUUAUGCGCAGUUUAUAAUUUUAUAUAUUUAAUAACUUAAGAUUUAGUUAAUUUGUUUAUUGACUAGCAAAGGUUGUGCCAGCAGCUGCGGUUAUACACCCUAGUUUAAGUGAUUUUUAUUGGAUAUUUAUUAUUUUUUUAUUAUUGACUUUACAUUUAUUUAUUUUUAAGUGAAAUUUAAAUUAUUUUUAUUAGUUUGGUGUAUUUUAAUAUAAGAAACUUUUAUUUUUAGACUAGGAUUAGAUACCCUAUUAUUUAAAGUUUAAAAAUUUAUUCCUAGUAUUAUAAGUUAUGAUCUUUAAAUUGAAAGAAUUUGACGGUAAUUUAAUCGUUUUAGAGGAACCUGUUCUGUAAUCGAUAAUCCACGAUAAAUUUUACCUUAUUUAUUGUUUGUAUACCUCUGUUUGAUGAAUGUUUUAAUAGGAAAUUUUCUUUAAUUUUUAUGGAAAAAUAUAUCAGGUCAAGGUGCAGCUUAUUAAGGCUAGAAAUGGGUUACAUUUAAUUUUGUAUUAUUGGAUUAAGGUAUUAAAUUAUUUUAUGAAAUUGGAUUUAAUUGUAAAAAGUAAGAUAUUUUACUUUUGAUACAUGUUCUUAAUUAAGUACACAUCGCCCGUCACUCUCACUAUAAGGUGAGAUAAGUCGUAACAAAGUAGUCCUAUCGGAAGGUGGGGCUGGAACUAUA